GUUCCUCCUCUCUCCUUUACUGGCCCACUGACCGAAAAGGAAAUUUCACCAAAUUUCCCACUCCCACUCCACUCUCCUCUCUCUCAGACAACUAACCCUAAACCUCAGCGGUGGCAGCUGCGACGGGUACAGGCGUACAGGCGCAACGCGGCGGCGGCCGGCAGCGUAGUAUGGCGCAAGCUCGUGGUGGUGCAGGAGCGGCGGCGGUGGCUGUGGCGCGGGCACCCAGUGUUGGCGCAGGCGCACGACAGCGGUGGCAGUGUUGGACAGCGCCGCGGCUGUUGGCGCAGGCGGCCAGGCGCCGAGGCGCGCGGGAGUUGCAACGCAACGGCCGCGGCACUACCACUGUCUAGGCCGGCCAGGACAUGGCGCCGCCACCCCGCGCACAUCAAGCAGCCCCCAGGGGCCUCUUCACCGGAGAGCCCCGCCGCCAUUGUCGUCGUCCGCCGCCCCGGGAAGUCGCUAGUCGCCGCACAACUUCGGACCGCCUCCGUUCGUAUCAAGCACUGGUCAUGUUUGCAGGAAGCGAGUGCUUGCGCCGGUUACCGGAAUUUCUAAGAUGAUUCUUUCUAGGGUGAUUCCUAGUCGGUUGCCUGUGUGGUUUGGUAGAUGGGCAUACCGAAAAACUUAUGAAUCUUUUCUGCUGUAUUUUAAACUC
rnacentral:lncRNA from 1 species